rnacentral:rRNA from 1 species
CCCGGUGGCUUUACCGAUGGGGAAACACCUCUACCCAUUCCGAACAGAGAAGUUAAGCCCAUCAGGGCCGAUGGUACUGUGCUGGCAACGGCAUGGAAGAGUAGGUCGCUGCCGGGU